UGUGCGACAUCUUGUUUGUGGUGAUGGAUACAAAAGUUGACACAUUCAUCAAAGCUCGCCACAUCAUUCACUUGAUAUCUGCAUAUUUCACUCAAAAGACCAUGGACUGAUAUGCCCAGGCCCCUGCUGCUCCAGCAAGCAACUGCAAACAGCUCUAGAAAUGCUGUAACCCUGCUGUCCUGACUGGCCCCCAGUGAAUGAGCAGGAUGAGUUGGUGAUGGCUCCAAACUUUGCCAUUGAGUGUUCAGAUCUGCACUUUAGGGAGUUUGAAUAGACACAACAGCAUCUGUUGGCAGCAUCUCAAAGCACCUAUAAGACAGUUGGGGAAGAACAUCUGGAAGACAGUUAAGGAACAGCAAGUGAGAAGCAGAGAGAAGCGAAUAGGUGGAAGCCACAGUUGGCAGAAGCCCUAAGGAAGAAGUUCAUUUUCACCGUAUAUUACACCAUGAUGAAGGGAUUUUCAUUUCACAAAGGUUUGAAUAAUGACUAAGGUCUAAGCUCACAUAUCCCCAGGAUGAAGAAUUAAGUUUAAUCCAUAGAGUUGCCCAAACCUUGUGGAAUGUCAUUUCCUGCAUCCCCUUGUUCACAUCCUGGUGGUAGAUUUGUUUUACACAGUGUAACCUAAUACAGUAGGAGGCUGAAACUCAUCAGUAAUCUCUGCUUUUGUGUGGCAAGAAUGGUGCAGUAUGGAGGCACCAAAAAGUAUGGAGGCAGUGCUGGGGAUUCACCUUGGUCUUCAUUUUUAUCUUUCUUGGGAUUUUUUUCCAACCAUAGAAGUUACUUAGACUUAGCACUUGUGCAUAAAUAUCACCCUUAAGCACAGUUGCAAAGAAAGCUCAGUGGGGUGGCUUUAGAAUGAUCCCGUUUGGGAAGCUAAGUGUAAGCAGUG
rnacentral:lncRNA from 1 species